GCCUACGGGGCGCAGCAGUGAGGAAUAUUGGUCAAUGGGCUUACGCCUGAACCAGCCAAGUCGCGUGAGGGAAGACUGCCCUACGGGUUGUAAACCUCUUUUGUCAGGGAGCAACGCCGGCUACGUGUAGCCGGACUGAGAGUACCUGAAGAAAAAGCAUCGGCUAACUCCGUGCCAGCAGCCGCGGUAAUACGGAGGAUGCGAGCGUUAUCCGGAUUUAUUGGGUUUAAAGGGUGCGUAGGCGGAAUGCCAAGUCAGCGGUAAAAUAGCGUGGCUCAACCUCGCUCCGCCG
rnacentral:rRNA from 1 species